GGCACUGUCGUCUAACGGCAAGACUCCUGUUUUGUAAUCAGGCGAUGCGGGUUCGAUUCCUGUCGGUGCCU
rnacentral:tRNA from 1 species